rnacentral:rRNA from 1 species
UACGGAGGGUGCAAGCGUUAAUCGGAAUUACUGGGCGUAAAGCGCACGCAGGUGGCUGAGUCAGUCGAUUGUGAAAGCCCUGGGCUUAACCUGGGAAUUGCAGUCGAUACUACUCAGCUAGAGUAUGGGAGAGGGCAGUGGAAUUCCCAGUGUAGCGGUGAAAUGCGUAGAUAUCGGGAGGAACAUCAGUGGCGAAGGCGGCUGCCUGGCCCAAUACUGACACUCAGGUGCGACAGCGUGGGGAGCAAACAGG